rfam:Cavia porcellus supercont2_45 genomic scaffold, whole genome shotgun sequence.
GGGGAUUUAGCUCAGUGGCAUAAGCACCUGCCUUGCAAGCAGGUUGUCGAGAGUUCGAUCCCUG